rnacentral:rRNA from 1 species
UACAGAGGCCUCGAGCGUUGUUCGGAAUUACUGGGCGUAAAGGGCAUGUAGGUGGUUAUGUAAGUCAGAUGUGAAAGCCCUGGGCUUAACCCGGGAAGUGCAUUUGAUACUGCAUAGCUGGAGUGCGAGAGAGGAAAGCGGAAUUCCAGGUGUAGGGGUGAAAUCCGUAGAUAUCUGGAGGAAUACCGAUGGCGAAGGCAGCUUUCUGGCUCGUAACUGACACUGAGAUUCGAAAGCAUGGGUAGCAAACAGG